AUGGGUGCUGGGAAGGGGGCAGGACCACCCUGGUGCCCAUGCACUUGGUGCCUGUGGAGAUGUCCCCACGCAGGUAGCAGAGUGGGAUGUGGGAGUGGGUGCCCCAGGGAGGCAAAAAAAAGGGGGGAGGAGACAACAUGGGGUGGGAAGGAGCUUGGUCUUGCUGCUCUGAGACCUUCAGGGUGUGCUCCUCACGCUCCUGUGUGGGACCUGCCCAGGCUUGGCAGCAGCACAGGAUGGGACCGUCCCUCUCUGUCCCAAGGUCCUGCCCUGCCAGUCCCGCUCCAGGUCCCCCCCCAGGCUCUGUGUGACCCCCAUCUCUGGGACACCCCAGGUUCCCUCCUGGGCGACAGGUUCACUGCCUCUAGUGUUUGCUGCUGCUGUGGUUUCUGGCACGACAAUAAAGGGGUUGGUGUGUGCACAGUCACCGAGCUGCAGGACAGCGUGGGGCACCGAGCACCCCCGGGCUGCGCUGGGUGCCAGCACCCCAGGGUGCCCACCCAGCGGGUGCAGGGGCUGGGAGGGGGCAGAGAGGGGGAUGCUGGGCUCUGCACAUCUGGAGGGAGCAAUGCUGGGCUCUGCACAUCUGCAUGGCCGCGGGUGGGUGUGCGUGGGCACGGGGCGGCUUCCGCCGGACAGCGGGAAGUUUGUCUGGACAGACGGCGCGGGGGGGAACAAGCUGACGAGUGCUGGAUUUUUCCACCCACCCGUUUGCUGCAGGAUUCCUGCCUCGGAGAGGUUUCAGCCUGCUCUGUGCCGAUGCAAACAGGGACAUCACUGCCAACGGGGCUGGGCCCGAGACCUGUCCCAGCAAGGUUAAGGAUAGGGGACAUGGGCCAGGACGUGGUGGCCCCCAUGAGGAUAACCCCCAGGGCCUGCAGAGCCACCAGCCCCCGGGGGUUUGGGGUCCCUCUGAUCCCCCAGCCUCCCUCUGAGUGCCCUGUGCUCACUGUGCCUUGUGCUGCCUCUUCUGUGCUUCUCCCCAUCUCACCCAGCCGCCCACCCCAGCAAACUGGGCACAGAUGCUCGCUGUCCCCCUUUAGCCACCCCAUGGCAUCACCCAUGUCCCCUGUGGGAUAA
rnacentral:lncRNA from 1 species